AUUGAACGCUGGCGGCAUGCCUUACACAUGCAAGUCGAACGGCAGCGGGGGAGAAGCUUGCCUUUCCUGCCGGCGAGUGGCGAACGGGUGAGUAAUACAUCGGAACGUGCCCUGUAGUGGGGGAUAACUAGUCGAAAGAUUAGCUAAUACCGCAUACGACCUGAGGGUGAAAGUGGGGGACCGCAAGGCCUCAUGCUAUAGGAGCGGCCGAUGUCUGAUUAGCUAGUUGGUGGGGUAAAGGCCUACCAAGGCGACGAUCAGUAGCUGGUCUGGGAGGGCGAGCAGCGAACCUGGGCCUGGGACACGGCCCAGACUCCUACGGGAGGCAGCAGUGGGGAAAUUUGGACAAUGGGCGAAAGCCUGAUUCAGCAAUGCCGCGUGUGUGAAGAAGGCCUUCGGGUUGUAAAGCACUUUUGUCCGGAAAGAAAUGGCUCUGGUUAAUACCUGGGGUCGAUGACGGUACCGGAAGAAUAAGGACCGGCUAACUACGUGCCAGCAGCCGCCGUAA
rnacentral:rRNA from 1 species